rnacentral:rRNA from 1 species
CCGUGGUAAUGUAGCAUAAUCACUCGCCACUUAAUUGGUGGAUAGUAUGAAUGGUUGAACGAAUAUAACACUGUCUCAGGUAGAGGUUUUAUAAAAUUGGAUUAAUAGUAAAGAUACUAUUUUAAAUUAUAAGACGAAAAGACCCUAUAGAGCUUAACUAUAAUCUUUUUUUUAACUAUAUAAAUUUAUUUAUAAAAAUAAAAAGACUGGUAGUUUAGUUGGGGCGACUAUCUUCUAAAUGUAACGAAGAUAAACAAUAUUAAUAAAAUAAUUUAUUGUAUAAUAAAUGAAUUUAACAAUUACUAAAGUAGGUAAUAAUGACCCGUUCCCAUUUCAGAAAAAAGGGAACGAUCAAUUGAUAAAAGCUACCUUAGGGAUAACAGGAUAAUUUUAUCUUAGAGAUCUUAUCGAAGAUAAA